GUAAAGAAACAACAGAGAAGAGAAUAUUUGCAAAGAGAAGAGUUAGGGAAGAAGAGGGAUAAGGAGGGGAAAAAAAGAGAGGCGAAAGAGAGAAGGGAGCAAGGGGAUGAGACGGCUGCCUGGAAAGACAAUUAGUAUUCAUGCGGCGUGGCGCUCCAGAGAGGAUUAAUGGACUCUGAUGCCUAAUAUCCUGGAGAACAAUUAAUUUGCCCACAGUUUUGUCAUGGUUGAAAGUCAAAUGCUGGAACAGAUCGAUGCGCACAGCCGCCAGUGAAAUCGCGGCAGCCCCUUCUGCCGGGCGCAGAAUUUUAAUUUCAUCAUCAUCAUUUUCCCCGGCUGCCACCCUCAACGAAGCUGUCCCUGACAUGGCUGAGAGGGCCGCCACAUCCCGACAGGCAUGCUGCAGAUCUGUGACUUCAGCAGAAACAGCUUGAGGACGCACUGCCAUAUCCUGAUGUGCCGUGGUGAGUGCCCCCCCCCCUUCCCCCUCCUUCUCCCCCCUACUUCCAUUGAUCAGGGUAAUUCGGAACAGCCAUGUCCCCCCACUUCUCUGCCGUCCUCUCUCGCUGCCCCUCCCCAGCCUCCUGAAAGCCCAGACAUCUGGUCCGCAUACACCCCAAGUCUUCAGCCCCCCCCCCCACCGUCACCUCCGAGCCCCUGUCCUUCUCAAGAAUAACCACACUGAGUCCCAAGACAUUUGAGCGGCUGAAGAACAAGAAGAUGUAGGAGAAGAAGAAGAAAAACACACGUACUAAGAGGACAAAAAGAUGGAGAAGAAACUGAACACG